rnacentral:lncRNA from 1 species
AAACUUCAUAUACCACCCCCCGUGGUUUUACAAUUUCUCGCUUUAGUACCAUAUGAUUUGAAAUGUAUCGAAUUAGUAUUUUGUGGUUUUAUUUUUUAUCUUUUCAAUUUUUCGUUAAUAUUUCAUUAAAUUAUAUAUAAAAAACUACAGAUACUCUAUUUAGGCUUAUCGAAUAUUCAUUUUAGUAUCGUUCAGUUUUAAUUUUGUCACUGAUUUAACGAAAAAAUUAGUGGGCUCGAUAAUAAAAAGAUAAAAAUAAAAUCACAUGGCACUAAAUUAAUACACUUUAAACUAUAGAAAACUAAAGUAAAAAAGUGUGAAACCACAUAAGUGAUAUUUGAAGUUUUUUCUUUUUAAUAUUUGGUUUACCAUUUCUUUACCUAGGGUUGAAAUUUACUCUCUUUAGAAUAAUCCAAUCAGUGCCCAGAUCAAUUAUAAAUAAUAAUAAUAAUAAUAAUAAGAUAUUAAUGCUUCAUUUCAAAUAAAUGGUAAACUUAAAAAAUUUUAAUUUUAGAGCUAUAUAAACACUGUAGCAAUUCUUAUCUAAAUACUGACUGCACCGUUUGGUUCGGGUAUUAGUAAGAACUACUAUUACAGGGAUAAGUACAAGUAUGGAGAUAAGAAAAAUAAAGUUUGGAUGAAAAUUGUGUUGUUUCCGGAAAUAAAAAAAAUAACUUUUGAAUAAUAUGGAAUAUGAAAAAUAGUAGGUAGUUAUAUAUAGAAAAUAAAGAUAUUGAUGAAAAUAAUUAUAUCAGCUUAUUUUAAAUAUUUAAAAAUUAUUAUUCUCGAAUAAAAAUUAACGUUUGGACAUAAACGAAGGGAUAAGAGAUCGACCUC